GGAGGCCUGAACUAGUGGGCACAGGAACCAGCUGGGAAUGAGCUCAUCCACGGAGCAGAAGAGGGGAGGGACUACAGGAUGGAGAUCUAGGGAGAAGUCAUCAGAUUUCUUUUUGGACUGUGAUGUGUGGUUGUAUAUGAAUAACCUGAAAAGGAAAAUAAGACAGAAAUGGCAAACUGCAGACAACCGCACAUGUCAAUUCCGAAAUGGAUUUUAAAAAAUACUUCAAACUGUACAGCAGAGAACAGCAAACCUACAAAACAACA